AAGGAUUUAAGUUAAAUAAACUACUAACCUUCAAAGUUAAAAUUGUAUAAUAAUAUGUGUAUAAGCCUUA
rnacentral:tRNA from 1 species